CGUAGGGGGCAAGCGUUGUCCGGAUUUAUUGGGCGUAAAGCGCUCGCAGGCGGCUCGCUACGUCAUGCGUGAAACACCCCGGCUCAACUGGGGAGGGUCGUGUGAUACGGGCGGGCUUGAGGCCAGUAGGGGGAUGCGGAAUUCCGGGUGUAGUGGUGGAAUGCGUAGAGAUCCGGAGGAACACCAGCGGCGAAGGCGGCAUCCUGGACUGGUACUGACGCUCAUGAGCGAAAGCGUGGGGAGCGAUCCGGAUUAGAUACCCGGGUAGUCCACGCUGUAAACGAUGCGGACUAGGUGUCGGGGGUAUCGACCCCCUCGGUGCCGCAGCUAACGCGCUAAGUCCGCCGCCUGGGGACUACGGCCGCAAGGCUA
rnacentral:rRNA from 1 species